GCCGCUGUGGCGCAACGGUAGCGCGUUGCUUUCCUACUUGCUCUAAUAAGUAAGCGUUAGGCAAAGGUUGCGGGUUCGAUCCCCGUCAGCGGUU